UCUUGGUGUUCCCUAACAGUUCAUUGGUUGUUUUGACGGCGAAACUAGCUUUUCCUUCUCUUUCGCUCAACAAUCUCUUCCUAACCGUUCUUUUCCUUCAAUUCAGUCUCUGUUAUUUGCUUUUCUGAUUUCUCUUCAAAUCACCAUGGCUUCUAUCCUUGGAUACCGCUCUUAUUUUUUCCGUAUUACCUUUUCAGAUGAGCUCUUGUUACUCUUUAUCUAUCUGGUAAAUCUACUGGGUAAUUUAUUCACAUCAUUGUAUCUUGUAUACUGGGUAAUUUAUUCACAUCAUUGUAUCUGUGAACUAUGGUGAUUCUUCCUCGCUAUCUGCUAUUUUUACCCGCAUAAGAUCUUUGAUAAUACCCAGAAAAAAAACCCAUUUAGGUGCAAUAUGGACAGAAUGUUGCAACCAAAGACAUUUAUGGGAAACAUAAAAAACCUUGGGAACAAUUUAUGAUGAUAUGCUAGAGGCUCUGUUUCUCCAUCUGGUCUAAUUGAGCUUUUAUUUUCUCAUGUAAAUUUUAAUUUUCUUGCAUGUUUGUUUAAUUCAUGUUUUUAUUUGAUGCACUUUUUGGGGCUUCUAAUUGUUUAUGCAUGUCAUAAUUUUAAUUUUUAUUUCCAGUGGUUUCGGCAGCCUUGAACCUUUCUAGGUGAGCAUGAUCUUGGUCUCUCUUUUAGGUUAACUUUGUGUCUAUUUUAGCCCCUUAGCCUUUCUUCACCAUUCAAGUUUUCCACUUGAUCAAGUUUUAAGAUCAUGGCGAGUGGUGACUGAUAUUAAGUAGUUGAUUAGGGUACCACUAACACACCCACUUAUGUCUACUGAAGUUCACCUUUGGCUGCAUGAUGCUUUUCAUUCAUUUCUAUUAUCAUCUGUAUUGUCAAAAGGUUAUGUACUGAGUUUUAAAUAUUGUACUUUUUGUAGGUUUCAAAUCUCAAUCUUUUACAGGUACAUAGUUGAUGUUCAUUCCAGUUUGAAACUUAGAUGCUCCGAUGCUAAAGAAGUUCAUUCUCUGUUUAGAAAAGUGACAUACUAUGAACUACAAAACGUGCUUGGAUUAUAACGUUGUUUGAUAACAAUCCAUGGUCCUCAUCUUUCUACUUCGUCGGCUGAUGCCUUCAGAAGAAGCUUUACAGAAUACUAAUAGUCAAUUGAAGCUAGAACUGUAAGUCAUGCACAUCGAGAAUAACAUUGAUUCUUCCAAUAGAAGGCUUCCAUUCUUGCACCAGAUUCUUUAGCUGAAGGAACUGGUACAAGGUUGUGUAGGCCAUUGAUUAAUAGCUUUCCAUUCUUAUAGGGAUUGUAGGUAUUUACAUGUUCUUUCUUUGAAGUUGAAGGUGAGAGCAUAGAAAAGAUUAAGUAGCCGUAAGACAGCAGAAACAUAAGAAUAGAAAGAAGAGAAAAAAGGAUAAAAGCAAGAACAUUUAAGCAAAUACAAAGCAGAUACACCAAGUGUUAAAGUAUUAAUCUGUAAACCUCAUCUAUUAGUUUUUACUAAAUCAAUUCUAUGUAUAUAUAAGAUACCAUCUCUCUCUAUAUUGUAUGUUGUGUAGUUCUAACUUCCUUGUCAUUAAAGUUCUUCUCAUAUGAUCCUGUUUUCUACUGUUUUUUAAGGAUAAGGGAAUCUAAAUAAUGACAUAAUUUUUCUUGGAGAUGUGGCAAAUUCUCUUUAGUACUUUUCGAGUUCCAUGCUUCUAGAACCAUCCUUUAACUCUUUCACAACUAUAAUACUUCUUUGCUAGCUGGAUCCUAUGUUUCAUCUGCUGAAAUUUGGUUUUUAUUGGAGUGAAGAGUGCAUAAUAAUUAAAGCUCUGGCGAACAAGGUAAGCAACUAUGAGUGUUAUACUGUCGUUGUUGAUGUGACAUGGUGGAAGAAAAUGCAGAUAGUGAGUCCAAAAAGAAUAGUGCAAGUAUUUUAUUAUAUCAAACAUACAAGUCCCUGGUUACUCAUAUUUUCAAGGAUGUAUAUAAAAAAGCAUAAUGAAAGGCCAUUUGGUUUGACGACAAUGAAAGAUGGUCAGGUGCUUUACAUCUGAAAUUUGACAGGAUGUAAAUACGCAUAGUCAAUCCUAUAAGUAGCAGUAGUUUCUUUGGCUUACAGCCAUUAAAUUUCAAGUAUGAGCAAUGAAAUUAUAUGCUAUAUCUGUUUUAGAAUUCUCCUUUUGGUCUUUCAGGAGUUUCCAUAGUUGAGUUGGUAGUUUUGAUUGAAUGGGGUGAGUGAGGAGGAUAGAGUGGGAUCAUAGGAUUUAGAGAUGUCGUGUUACAAGUUUUUUAAUUUCUAAGCACAAGCAGUACCAAAUAUUUUUUACCAUCCUUUCCCUUCCAAAGGAAGAGAACCCGACAUAUUUUUUAUUGAUCAACUUUUCUUGAACAUUUGAGAUACAGUAACCUAAAACAGUUUUAGAAGUUCAUCCUCUCUCAUGGACAUAUGGCCUUUUAUCAAAUUUUAUAGCUCUCUACUCAGAUCCUUUUCGCUCUACUUUGAUUCUUUAGAAGAUAUUGGUACAUUACUGCUAAGAUAUUCCUCUAUUUAAUAUAUAACUUACUCACCAUUUCAAAAAAAAAAAAAUACUGGUACAUUACAGAAGUAAUAAUCUGGAGUAAGUUGAGUUUGUUAUUUGUUAGGUGCCUUCAGUCUGUUUAGGAAUUAUUGCUUUGGUCAGUCGGUGAAAAUAUAGUACUACUUGCCAGCUCAUAUGGUACUUUAGAAACGAAGGGUUUAAUUUCUCUAGAGCCUUAAUAAGUGAAAAUUAGAAAAAAGCAGGUUAAUUUCAAUUAUAUUAAAAGAACAUGAGGAAUGAUGACGCAUCGCAGAUAGAUGAUACUCUGAAGUGGAGGAUUUUAAGAUAAUUUAUGAGAAUAUAAUCAUAGGAAAAGAACAAUCAACUCUACAUAAACUUGUGUUGAGAAACUGAAAAUUGAAUAUAGUUGGUAACCUCAUGUUUGUAGAUCUUCCGCACCACCAAUGAAGUAUAAUAGCCCAUCAUAUUAUUUAAGAUACAAUCCAUUUCUCUUUCUAUCGGUUUGUAAUAUUAGGGGUUAUCGCUGUUGAUCAUAAAAGUGUUUGACGAGAUCUCUAUUAGGAAAAUUUUCUCUACGCCUUAGGAGAUGGCGCUAACAACCAUCGAUAUUCCUGCAGUAAGUAUUUUAAAGUACUGUUCAUUUUCACACCUAAAAUCAUGUUGUAACCUCAUCCGAUGACCAACUCUUUCACUUUUCCCCCUUUUUCCAAUUUAGGGAAAGCAAGUAAUGUCUAAGUUGGAUUUUGUUGCACAAGUUCUGAGAUGUACGGGGACUCAGAUGAACUACUGAAAAAUUUAUCAUUGUCGCUUUUGCAGGACUGGUUAUUCCUUUAGUUGCACAGAUUGUGCUUUUUUGCUUCUAUUUUAUUUGUGUUUUUUCCAGAUUUUAUUUAAAUUGCUGAACUGUCUUCCAAGGCUUUAUGUAUCAUAGGUUUACAUGGAAGCAAGAGAAACCAAAGAUGGAGCAAUUAUUCUUCAGUUUUAAAGCAUUUGGUUAAUAAUUGGAUAAUAUUUUGAUACCAAAUCCAGCUUUAACUAUUCUUCUCAACUUGGAUAAUUGCAGAAGUGAGUAAUAUGUUGCUUGUAAACUGUAAUGGUUUGGGUUUUGACACUUUUGUUAGUGGCAUUGGAUUCUACUUUUAGUAGGGUUUUUUUAGUGCUUAAUUUGAUCUUACCAAACACCUUGCAAGUAAGCAUGAGAAUUUUGUCUUAUCAGGCUCUUAAGUUUAUGUAUUUCAAAAUUUCAUACUUAUUUGACACCUUUUGCUAAUAUUAUUUCAGAUUGUUGUUGUGAAAUCAAUAGUUAGUAGUUCGAAUCCCACACAAAUACUCAUGCCCUUCAAGAUGCAAGUGGGAGAUUCAAGCCAUUCUGCAGAAAGAACCGAUGCAUAAGCAUUUCUGUCUUGACUUGCAUCAAGUUUCCCAAGCUAAAGACGGGAUAUUACUUAUGCUGCGAUGGUCUUUCUAUUUUAUGCUUUAGCCAAAUUAUAUGAGAAAUAAAUAAUAUGAAGGAGUGUACCAAUGUAUGUAUGUCUGCAUCUAUAUGAGAAAGGGAGUUGUAUUUGACUAAUCUUAGGAUGAAUGUUGUUUUCUAAUUUGCUUUGCUGUUAAAACCAGCUUAAUUUUGAACUGUUUUGCUUUGCAAAAUUGAACUUU